UUAAAAAAAUCUGAUCACACAAUUGCAAUAUUAGACGUAACCUUACUGUGUACCAAAUGCCAUUAUAUUACAAUAAGAUCCCUUUGUUAUGAUAGUUUACCUUACAACACUUAAAGUACAUGUAAAUCUUCUAUGUAUUUAACAUAUCUUUGAAUUUUGGCUCUUAGAGUAAACUUGAUCAAUUAAGGGCUGUAUGCAAGUUGAAAAUUGUCCAGUAAAUGUAUCCCUGUUAAUCAGUAGUGUUUUGUUGUAAGAUGUCAAUUCGGUCCCUCUAUCUUUGUAUUCCCCCAGUUAGAAAAAAGACAGCAAGGGUAAUAUGAUACUACAAACAGAUAAGACAGACUCUGGUUCAGAGUGAGUCAGAAAUUUUGAAAAUAAUGAUAAUAAUCGCGAGGUGUUUGCAAGACUUGUUACUGUGGCUUGAAAAUUUGAAAUGUAGUUUCAAAGCAAUGUUUGGACUUUUUCAUUUGAAGUUUUGAUAAUAUGAUGAAAUAACUUACUUUGAUGAACAUUCUGAAAUAAUUAAGUAAACUGUCUGUACAAAUCAACAUUCUGUGUGUAAAAAGCUGAAAAGAGUGAUUCAGUGAGUUAUGAUGGACCUUUGUUGAAUGCUCUGAACUACUGAACAGGGUAAACUCUUGCCCCAAGGCACAAUUUACGCUGAACAGAAGAUCCUAAGGAUAGUGUGCACAUCGGCUGCCAAAAAUGGAGCAAAAGGGGGAUGUUACCUCAUGAUGUAUGGACUUUUAGACAAGGUUUUUACCCUGCACAAGUUUGCCAGCUCAAAGGGAACAGGAGAGAGAAAACCGCAUCCUGGUGUUGAGCAUAUACCUGUCAUUGACCAAGACAAGCUGGAUUUGUUGAGAGAGAUCAUGCAGGGGCAGUACAAGGUAAAACCUGUGCAAGUGCGAGAGAAGAUCCGCAACCUGCUGAAACACAGCAAAUUAAAAAAAACAGUUUUAAAAAAUGAUGGGAGUUCUAUACUAAAAUCAGUACCCUGGUGCACAUGUGUUCAUAUUGUGACAUAAAUAUUAAAAUAACUACUGUGUCAAAACACGUUUUAAGAAUUUCCAUUUAUCAUUGUUUCUUUUGUUUCUUGCAUAUAGUUUUUAGCUCGGUUGUUUUCGGAGAAAACCCGAAGUAUUGUCGUGUCGUCCGCCAUAAGCGUCGUGCUAAAACCUUAACAUUGGCUCUUAAAUCAAAGUGCUUCCAGGUCAAAGGUCAAGAUCACUGUGACCGCUAAAAAAAUAUUCUGACAAGCUUUCAUUUCUUCUCAAAACUGCACCCGCAGCCGAGCGUUGGCAUCCGUUAUGCGGUGUUCUUGUUACAAGGUUUGUGACUGUACAUUACUGGACUUAUUUGUAUUUGUAUUGCUUUGAAUACUCUUUUUGAGGGUAGUAUACUGUUAUUUUGCUUCGUUUUAUUGUUUAAGUAAAGACAGGCGUGUUCUUCUAUGUAAUGGCAAGUUUUUUUUUAAUAAUGGACCUAGAAGAUGUGUAUGCAUGUAUUCAGUUUUGUAGACCAGGAAUUUAUUUUUCCUUUCCAGUGACCAUGGUAUAAGCUGGACAAUUUUCCAUGUUAUACCAGGCAACCAUGGAAUAUUAAACAUGGAAAACCCUGGAACAUUUUCCAGGGUUUUCCAGCCAGCAUGGAAAAAAUACCGUCCGAAUACUACAUGUUAUCUGGAAAACCAGGGAAUUUUCCAUGGUUUUCCAGAUUCCAUGGAGUAUUCGGACGGUAUUUUUUCCUUGCUGGCUGGAAAAUCCUGGAAAAUGUUCCAGGUUUUCCCUUUCAGGCUGGAAAUUGUUCCAGGCUAUUUCCGCAUAACAUGGACAAUUUUCCACCGUUUUUUUUUUAUAAAUAUUGACGCUGGAAAAGGCUGGAAACUUAGUCCGAAUACUCCAGCCCCAUAUUUUCCAUUUAUUUCCAUGAAAAACCCUGGACAAUGUACGCCCGGGUCUUGACAAUAUUUGAAUUAACCAAGAUUAAUUGAUUUUUUAGAAAAAAAAAGCAAAUUGUUGGAAAAUUGCUGUUUUACUUAUUUAUUGUUGUGUCUUACAUUCAAAUUAUUUUAAUGAUAUCAGCUUAAUUGACUGUAUCUUUUUUUUAAUGGUAUCUAUGCCCGAUCUUUAAUUUUUUAUUCAAGUUUGAUUUAAUUUUACGACCAUCUAGACUAUUUACUGCGUGAAUACUUGAUGUGAUUAUAGAAAAGAAUGAAUGACAGUAGUGUUGUUUAUGAUGUGACUUAAGUAAAAAUUAAUGGUUUUCGUUGUAAAAAAAUAAUGCUGAAAUGCAGUAAUGUAAAAUGUGAUAGUUUAUAUAUUCAUUUAUUCAAUAAACAUGAUGUGUAGACGCAAAUGAGCAAAACAGUACUGCAAUAAUACAUAUUGCAGGCCAGAAAAAGUUUGAAAAAUAAAAUAAAAGACGCUGUUACAGUCUUCUAAGAAAUAUAUUUCAACCACUAGCCCGAAUCAUUAUGCCUGAUAGAGAUCUAUUGCAUCUUUUAUAUCAUAAACGGGCCAGUGUGCUAAUAGGUGAAUUAAAGCAUGUAGGUUUCUGUUCUAUAAAGUUAAGUCUAUUUAGUUUGUACAGGACUUCCGUUAAUUUUUGAAAACAUGAAGUAUUAACAUUCUGGCUUCUGAUUUGUGAAGUUUUGCUCAUAAUAUUUGGAAGUUUGGACAGAGUGAGACUCAAAACAUGUAUGUCUUGAGCAUCUCAAAGUUGAAAUACUUGAAAAUGAAGCUAAUUUUAGCUCUUUCAACUAGUGAUUUUUGUCAAUAAUAAAACAAAUCAGAGAAACAGAUGACUUUUUUAGUUUUAUAUUAAAAAAGAAAUCACUUAUAAUGUCAUCUAAUAUGGUCACUUAUAACUAUUAAAAUAAUUAAACUUCCAUAGCUGCAAUUUUCAA